rnacentral:lncRNA from 1 species
GUACGCGAUGUGUGAUAUAAAAGUUAGCAAAAUGAAAAAUAAAACAGCCUUUGUGGAUUAGGCAGAAAAAUAUCAAACCCGAUGCCUUUUCCUUAUUUCAGUGACACGUGGGAAGAUUAUGCAAAAAAUCUCCUUUUAGCUCCAAGCUGGAGCUAGGGGUGUUCAGCCUGCUGAAGGUCACCUUGGGAAAGACACUAUCCACACCGGAAGCCAGAGCCGGUUGCUUCCGAUUCACUGCCGCUCGCCUCUUCCCAGCGUCCCACAAUUCUCUGAGCUAUCUUCUCCUCGCACCGACGAUUUCAGAUGAUUCCCUUUAACUGCACCAUUUACAAUGAUAACAAAGACAGAUUAUGGAAGCUACAUGUUUAUACUAGAAGUUAAUUUCACAGAUGCUUAAUACUGGACAGUAUCUGAAAUGUAUAAUGCAGGAAACACACCACGACCCCUAAAUGAUACCAAACGGCAUAGUGAAACUCUAUUGUAUCUGCUUACUUACUAGCUAAAAUUCUGGGUUAUUUGACAUUUCUGUACAAGGCCGUUAUCAACCCUUCUCUGCUUAUGGCACUUGAAAACCCCAAUGGAUCUUCCACUCUUUCCCCAUCUUCCCUCGACUUAGGAUAGCUCAACUCUUACCCCACCUCCCCUCAAGCCGUCCCUUAUAGAGGAAGGAUCUUGUGACAAUUACAUAGCAUUUCAUAUAUCCAAAGAACGGUUACUUCAAACCAAUUGUUAUAUUUUUGUUGCAGUAUAAAAUACUUCCCCAUACUAUCCAUAUUGGUAGAAAGCAAAAUUAAGGGGUACACAUGACUACAUACUCACUAUGGCAGGACUGGGGUGUAUGUAGCUCAUGUAUAAGGCUCUAGGUUUGAGCUCAGCACUACAGCCAAACCCUGAAUACCCCCAGAUCAGUAUGGGCAAGCCAAGCAAAAUCUUUAGCAUGACCACAGUGUUGUUUUUUCACUUACAACAGCCCUUGAAUUAGAGAAGGAAGUUGCACACACUCUUCCGGAGCUCUUCAAAAGUCAGGCACGUUGCCCAAAUCAAGAAGCUUCGCAGUACGAAACUGUAAAUCUAAUCAUGGUGGCAUCUCUGGGGUUUCUGGGAAAGGAAGUGAGGGAGGCCUGAGGUGAGUCAUCACAUGACUCAGGUAACCAGUGCUCCCUUGCUAUUCUGGUCGUCUUUCAGAGUCAGGCAACAUGUCCUUCCGUGAUGAUGAACUUAGGACCACGACGCAAGAAAUUGCUUUUUUGUAACUGGACACGUUAUGCUCUAAACGCU